AUUGAACGCUGGCGGCAUGCUUUACACAUGCAAGUCGAGCGGCAGCGCGGGGGCAACCCUGGCGGCGAGCGGCGAACGGGUGAGUAAUACAUCGGAACGUACCCAGGAGUGGGGGAUAGCCCGGCGAAAGCCGGAUUAAUACCGCAUACGAUCUUAGGAUGAAAGUGGGGGACCGCAAGGCCUCACGCUUUUGGAGCGGCCGAUGUCCGAUUAGCUAGUUGGUGGGGUAAAGGCCUACCAAGGCGACGAUCGGUAGCUGGUCUGAGAGGAUGAUCAGCCACACUGGGACUGAGACACGGCCCAGACUCCUACGGGAGGCAGCAGUGGGGAAUUUUGGACAAGUGGGGGAACCCUGAUCCAGCCAUGCCGCGUGCGGGAAGAAGGCCU
rnacentral:rRNA from 1 species